rnacentral:rRNA from 1 species
CCUACGGGAGGCAGCAGUGGGGAAUAUUGGACAAUGGGGGCAACCCUGAUCCAGCCAUGCCGCGUGUGUGAAGAAGGCCCUCGGGUUGUAAAGCACUUUCAGUGAGGAAGAACGCCUGGUGGUUAAUACCCAUCAGGAAAGACAUCACUCACAGAAGAAGCACCGGCUAACUCCGUGCCAGCAGCCGCGGUAAUACGGAGGGUGCGAGCGUUAAUCGGAAUUACUGGGCGUAAAGCGCGCGUAGGUGGCUUGAUAAGCCGGUUGUGAAAGCCCCGGGCUCAACCUGGGAACGGCAUCCGGAACUGUCAAGCUAGAGUGCAGGAGAGGAAGGUAGAAUUCCCGGUGUAGCGGUGAAAUGCGUAGAGAUCGGGAGGAAUACCAGUGGCGUAGGCGGCCUUCUGGACUGACACUGACACUGAGGUGCGAAAGCGUGGGUAGCAAACAGGAUUAGAUACCCCAGUAGUC